AUAGCUUCUCGGCUUUUUUGGCUAAGAACAAGUGUAGUAUUUUAUCAUCUUAAUAUCUGAUAUGUCCUCUAUCUGAAAACAAUAUAUUAAGUGAAUUUUUGGAGCUGGGGUUCAGAAUAGGAACUUGCUCUGUCUGCUCCCUGCAUUGACCUGGUAUUGCAGUACUUCCAGGAACUGUGCACCUUUG